rnacentral:ribozyme from 1 species
AGAAAGAUGGAAAGGAAGAAGAAGGACAGGACUGUGACGAAGCCCUUUGGGAAGAGUAGCAAGGCUCACAAACUCGAUGAAUUGGAAAGUUACAUCAAAAAAACCAAAACCAGCCCUCCUAUGGUCGGCUCCAUUUGGGAUGCUAC